rnacentral:rRNA from 1 species
GAUGAACGCUGGCGGCGUGCCUAAUACAUGCAAGUCGAGCGAACAGAUGAGGAGCUUGCUCCUCUGACGUUAGCGGCGGACGGGUGAGUAACACGUGGAUAACCUACCUAUAAGACUGGGAUAACUUCGGGAAACCGGAGCUAAUACCGGAUAAUAUAUUGAACCGCAUGGUUCAAUAGUGAAAGACGGUUUUGCUGUCACUUAUAGAUGGAUCCGCGCCGCAUUAGCUAGUUGGUAAGGUAACGGCUUACCAAGGCAACGAUGCGUAGCCGACCUGAGAGGGUGAUCGGCCACACUGGAACUGAGAAACGGUCCAGACUCCUACGGGAGGCAGCAGUAGGGAAUCUUCCGCAAUGGGCGAAAGCCUGACGGAGCAACGCCGCGUGAGUGAUGAAGGGCUUCGGAUCGUAAAACUCUGUUAUUAGGGAAGAACAAAUGUGUAAGUAACGAUGCACGUCUUGACGGUACCUAAGCAGAAAGCCACGGCUAACUACGU